GAAAGGCCUGCAGCUUGCUGCGGGUACUCGAGUGGCGAACGGGUGAGUAACACGUGGGUGAUCUGCCUUGCACUUCGGGAUAAGCUUGGGAAACUGGGUCUAAUACCGGAUAGGACAGCUGUUUAGUGUCAGUUGUGGAAAGUUUUUUCGGUGCAAGAUGAGCUUGCGGCCUAUCAGCUUGUUGGUGGGGUAAUGGCCUACCAAGGCGUCGACGGGUAGCCGGCCUGAGAGGGUGUACGGCCACAUUGGGACUGAGAUACGGCCCAGACUCCUACGGGAGGCAGCAGUGGGGAAUAUUGCACAAUGGGCGGAAGCCUGAUGCAGCGACGCCGCGUGGGGGAUGAAGGCCUUCGGGUUGUAAACUCCUUUCGACAGGGACGAAGCGUAAGUGACGGUACCUGUAUAAGAAGCACCGGCUAACUACGUGCCAGCAGCCGCGGUAAUACGUAGGGUGCGAGCGUUGUCCGGAAUUACUGGGCGUAAAGAGCUCGUAGGUGGUUUGUCGCGUCGUCUGUGAAAUUCCGGGGCUUAACUCCGGGCGUGCAGGCGAUACGGGCUGACUUGAGUGCUGUAGGGGAGACUGGAAUUCCUGGUGUAGCGGUGAAAUGCGCAGAUAUCAGGAGGAACACCGAUGGCGAAGGCAGGUCUCUGGGCAGUAACUGACGCUGAGGAGCGAAAGCAUGGGUAGCGAACAGGAUUAGAUACCCUGGUAGUCCACGCCGUAAACGAUGAGUGUUAGGUGUCUGGAGUAAAUCUGGGUGCCGCAGCUAACGCAUUAAACACUCCGCCUGGGGAGUACGCGCGCAAGCGUG
rnacentral:rRNA from 1 species